GGGUUGUAGCUGGCCGGAAGGCAUGUGCACGCCUCGAUCAUCGUCCAUCUCACACCUGUGCACACACUGUAGGUCGGUUUGUGGGGCGAGGUCUUCAUUGACUUUUGCUCUGCGGGCCUUCCUAUGUUUUAUCACAAACUACUAGUUUAAAGAAUGUCUACUGCGUGUAACGCAUUUAUAUACAACUUUCAGCAACGGAUCUCUUGGCUCUCGCAUCGAUGAAGAACGCAGCGAAAUGCGAUAAGUAAUGUGAAUUGCAGAAUUCAGUGAAUCAUCGAAUCUUUGAACGCACCUUGCGCUCCUUGGUAUUCCGAGGAGCAUGCCUGUUUGAGUGUCAUGGAAUUCUCAACUUCAUUUGCUUUUGUGAAUGAAGCUUGGACUUGGAGGUAUUGCUGGCYGUACGGUCGGCUCCUCUUGAAUUUAUUAGCUCGAACCUUUGUGGAUCAGCUUCGGUGUGAUAAUUGUCUACGCCGUUCUGUGAAGCAUAACUAUGGGUUUCGGCUUCCAACAGUCCUUCACUGGACAACUUUUUGACCUUUGACCUCAAAUCAGGUAGGAUUACCCGCUGAACUUAAGCAUAUCAAUAAGCGGAGGAAAAGAAACUAACAAGGAUUCCCCUAGUAACUGCGAGUGAAGCGGGAAAAGCUCAAAUUUAAAAUCUGGCGGUCUUCGGCCGUCCGAGUUGUAGUCUGGAGAAGUGCUUUCCGCGCUGGACCGUGUACAAGUCUCUUGGAACAGAGCGUCAUAGAGGGUGAGAAUCCCGUCUUUGACACGGACUACCAGUGCUUUGUGAUGCGCUCUCAAAGAGUCGAGUUGUUUGGGAAUGCAGCUCAAAAUGGGUGGUAAAUUCCAUCUAAAGCUAAAUAUUGGCGAGAGACCGAUAGCGAACAAGUACCGUGAGGGAAAGAUGAAAAGCACUUUGGAAAGAGAGUUAAACAGUACGUGAAAUUGCUGAAAGGGAAACGAUUGAAGUCAGUCGCGUCGGCCAGGACUCAGCCUUGCUUUUGCUUGGUGCAUUUUCUGGUUGACGGGCCAGCAUCGAUUUUGAUCGCCGGAAAAAGGUUGGGGGAAUGUGGCACCUUCGGGUGUGUUAUAGCCCUCAGUCACAUACGGCGAUUGGGAUCGAGGACCGCAGCACGCCUUUAUGGCCGGGGUUCGCCCACGUUCGUGCUUAGGAUGCUGGCGUAAUGGCUUUAAACGACCCGUCUUGAAACACGGACCAAGGAGUCUAACAUGCCUGCGAGUGUUUGGGUGGAAAACCCGAGCGCGUAAUGAAAGUGAAAGUUGAGAUCCCUGUCGCGGGGAGCAUCGACGCCCGGACUUGAACCUCGGUGAUAGAUCUGCGGUAGAGCAUGUAUGUUGGGACCCGAAAGAUGGUGAACUAUGCCUGAAUAGGGUGAAGCCAGAGGAAACUCUGGUGGAGGCUCGUAGCGAUUCUGACGUGCAAAUCGAUCGUCAAAUUUGGGUAUAGGGGCGAAAGACUAAUCGAACCAUCUAGUAGCUGGUUCCUGC
rnacentral:rRNA from 1 species